rnacentral:lncRNA from 1 species
UUGGGUCCUGUUCCAGUAAAUCCCUACAGGACCCCAGUAGUUAAGAGUUAUCAGCAGGCUCUCCGGAAGAGAGUGACCCAGGCUGGACUAUACAGAAAACAUGCUCCUGGCUGGGUUUAAACAGUACCUUAUCCAGGACCUGGGUGUGGUAAACUGCUCUCAGGAGGUAGGUAUUUAAAACUGGGCAGAGACUCACGAAGUACAUUCAGCAAAAGGACAUUCAGCAAAAAAACAGCAAGGAUGUCUCACAGGAAGUAAUCAGAAAGAGGUAUUUUCCAUUUAGAACUCUGAUUCCAGUUGGUUUCUGGUUCCAGUACAUGACGGGAAUUGAUGUUGAUGGUACUACUCCUUCUGCCACAGAUACAGACAGCUGCAGAGUCCUUGGUCAAGCGCCAGUGACUGCUGGAAGGUGCUGAGGGCUGCAAAGAAAGAUGUGCAGCGGAACUGGAGAAGACACACACCUCUGAAGACAUCAGCAUGCCUGAGCAGCUUCUUGUGCUGUAUUACCUGCAGCCCAUUCUCCAGCUGAAGCACCUGCAUCACCUAGGGGUGAUAAAGAAUAUGACAGUCCAGAAAUGGAUGCAGAGAAAGAAGUUUGUGUCACAAAGAGGGCAAAAACUGGCAAUAAUAGCAGUGACAAAGCACACAACCUCCUCACAGCAGCUGCCAUGCUUUGCCCUGAUUGAAGAAGAGGAACAUUAGAAGUAAACUAAAACUCAAAGUUGUUUUAAUGUAUUAAUUGAACUGUCUGUGGCUUGGAAACAAUCAUACACUGUGUGUAUGUGUUUGUUUUGUAGAUACCAUCUUCCAUUUACCACCAGCCAGGCUGUCAGGAGGGCAUUUGAGACGGCAACAAAGAGGCUCACAGAUGCACAGGAGAGCAUCGUGGCGGAUUAUCUGGCCCAGUCAGAUGGUACUGCAGAGAAACACUAGAGGAUGCUGACACAUGACAACAUCUGCUCAGCCAUUGAUAUCAUUGAAGGUGUUGCAGAGGAGGGAGCUCAGUAAGUGUCACCAUGUUCUAAAUAAAUGACAAAAUAUUUGUGUGUCAAAAACAGCAAUAACUUCAUGCUUUUGAAACAUCAAGAGAGCAAUCACCACCCAGUGCUGCAGGAUGCACAUCUGCUGUGUAACUGGAAGAGAAAACACCACUUUCAGUUCUUUUCAGCCAACAUGUUACAGAGAUUAUUGUGAUCUAAUAUUCACUUUUACAUCAGAUCAACACCAACAUCCGCUGUGGCAGCUGCAGGAUCUGGAAAUCCGAAGAUAGAUGAUGCCACAGCCUUCC